rnacentral:rRNA from 1 species
UACAGAGGUGGCAAGCGUUGUUCGGAAUUACUGGGCGUAAAGGGCGCGUAGGCGGCCUUCUAAGUCAGACGUGAAAUCCCCCGGCUUAACCUGGGAACUGCGUCUGAUACUGGGAGGCUUGAGUAUGGGAGAGGGAUGUAGAAUUCCAGGUGUAGCGGUGAAAUGCGUAGAUAUCUGGAGGAACACCGGUGGCGAAGGCGGCAUCCUGGACCGACAUUGACGCUGAGGCGCGAAAGCCAGGGGAGCAAACGGG